rnacentral:snRNA from 1 species
UCCUCAACCAAAUCAGCCC